CAAAUUCACAGCGAGUUUCAUUAAAAUGCAUCCAUGCGACAUUUCAACAUCAUUGAAUCAUCUUUUGAAGAACUUUAACAUUCAAUAGCGGAGGAUCCGGACAUUUUUUCUGCAUAAAACUUGAAUCAGAUUGUCCUCCUUUGGGCCACAGUGUCGCAAUUGAUCAUCUGCUUUCGGGACUCCCUGUAUAUAGAGUUAUUGUGCAGGUAAAUGGAAUAGAGAGAUUUCGAAAUCAAAUACAGCCAUCAAGUGUUUUUUUACGAGGUUCAAAUGAACAAUCAGCAAAAUCUUUUAGAGGAUUUGGCUGUUUUAGAUCGUUGCACAAAUGUGGAAAAUUUAUCGCUGAACCAUUAGGGAUUUUAUAUGGGGCUAUAAAUUCGUAGAAAAGACGCCGAAUUCGGUGCAACAAUAGUUUCCCAUUGGGCCAGUUUUGAGCCAAACAAAGUGAAACUAUCAAUAACGACGGGCGCAAGAUCAAUUAAGGAAUAGAGCACGCUCUAAGUCUCAGACCUCCACUUGGCCCCCCUUUUGGGAAGUACUAAAAAGUACGAAUAAAGAAAUCUGUGGAAGACGCUUGACUAUUAAUAAACCAGACUUUGUUUUAACAGGAAAUAUAAAUAUAGAAUCACGCUUCUGAUAAUUGGAUUAUCGGACAGUUUAAUACGUAAUUCGAGCAGUUAUCAUUGUUGAGCUCGUUUUCACACAGUCGACGCUAACAAGACGUUGUUAAAGUCCAUUGAAAACUGGAUAAACCAUCUGCAUGCAAACUUUCACUUAAAACGAUUGUUCAACUGGUCGCCAGAGGACCGGGAUUUUAAUUUUGCAAAAUGAGCGGCCAGAUGCGAGUUUUUGUGGUUUUUGUGGUAGUUUUUGCGGUUUUCUGCCAGCCAAUCGUCAGUUCGCCCUGCGGCAUCUGUGGAAUCGAUGUGAUUUGCAAAAGUAAAUAUCCGACUUGUACCGCAAAUCAGGCGAUCACUUUGGAUCAGUGCGGAUGCUGCUUGGUUUGCAAAAAUAUUCUGGAAAAAGGCGAAGAAUGUUUCACGGACAUCGAUAUCUACGCAAUUUGCAAAUUGGGAUUGGAGUGCAUCAACAACAAAUGUACGGAGCCGCAAAAUGGGCCCAGUGGAUGAACGCCCACCCAGUCGGGAUAUUUUAAUUUCAUUUAAUGAUGUAUUUUUUAUCAGUUGGUUUGCCACUUUCCACGCUGAUUGGUGUGUCUAAUUACAUUUUCUGUGUGUUUGACAUGA